rnacentral:misc_RNA from 1 species
CUAGAUCCCAAUACAUCUUCCGGUCACAAUUUCAAGAAAAGAAAACCGAGACACACAGUUAAAUAUGGAGAAACACAGUAGAAAGCUGAGCAUUAUAUCCAGUAUUCUACUAGUAGCCGAAUCUGGAACUAAGCAUUUAUUAAACAAAAAUUGCUUCAAGAACAAAAUUCACACGGAUCUAGAAGCAUAACAGUGUUUGAAAUUUAGAUGCAAAGACAGUGACCUCAUUCUUUCUUUCCAAUCCCGUGCGACAUGUUAUAAAUUCCUCGUCCGAUAAGAUACAGUGAUGAAGCUGCAAGAGCAAUUGGAAUGGCAACGGAGGUGACUUUGUCCAUUGGCCCUUUAAGAUAAGUGUGCUUGUGGAUGCUCUGGAAAUAUUUUUGCUUCUCAAUAAGUUUCUCGCGGGGUCUAAAAGGUUGUUCUACUUCUGUCAUCGUAAGGAUGGAGGGGAGAGCGGUAAAUCGUUGCUUUGAGAGCUGCAGCCGAUGGGGGACGGAAAAAUGGAGGACUUGG